rnacentral:rRNA from 1 species
GAUGAACGCUGGCGGCGUGCCUAAUACAUGCAAGUCGAGCGAACAGACGAGGAGCUUGCUCCUCUGGCGUUAGCGGCGGACGGGUGAGUAACACGUGGAUAACCUACCUAUAAGACUGGGAUAACUUCGGGAAACCGGAGCUAAUACCGGAUAACAUGUUGAACCGCAUGGUUCAACAGUGAAAGACGGUCUUGCUGUCACUUAUAGAUGGAUCCGCGCCGCAUUAGCUAGUUGGUAAGGUAACGGCCUACCAAGGCAACGAUGCGUAGCCGACCUGAGAGGGUGAUCGGCCACACUGGAACUGAGACACGGUCCAGACUCCUACGGGAGGCAGCAGUAGGGAAUCUUCCGCAAUGGGCGAAAGCCUGACGGAGCAACGCCGCGUGAGUGAAGAAGGUCUUCGGAUCGUAAAACUCUGUUAUUAGGGAAGAACAAAUGUGUAAGUAACUAUGCACGUCUUGACGGUACCUAAUCAGAAAGCCACGGCUAACUACGUG